rnacentral:rRNA from 1 species
UACGUAGGGGGGCAAGCGUUGUCCGGAAUCAUUGGGCGUAAAGCGCGCGCAGGCGGAUGGGUAUGUGCCGUGUGAAAGCGCCGUCCUUACGAUGGCGAGGUCAUGGUAGACAGCCCGUCUGGAGGCUCGAAGAGGUCGGUGGAAUUCCGGGUGGAGCGGUGAAAUUCGUAGAUAUUCGCAAGAACACCAGUGGCGAAGGCGGCUCACUGGUCCGGAACUGACGCUGAGGUGCGAAAGCGUGGGGAGCAAACAGG